GACGAACGCUGGCGGCGUGCUUAACACAUGCAAGUCGAACGGAAAGGCCCUGCUUUUGUGGGGUGCUCGAGUGGCGAACGGGUGAGUAACACGUGAGUAACCUGCCCUUGACUUUGGGAUAACUUCAGGAAACUGGGGCUAAUACCGGAUAGGAGCUCCUGCUGCAUGGUGGGGGUUGGAAAGUUUCGGCGGUUGGGGAUGGACUCGCGGCUUAUCAGCUUGUUGGUGGGGUAGUGGCUUACCAAGGCUUUGACGGGUAGCCGGCCUGAGAGGGUGACCGGCCACCUUGGGACUGAGAUACGGCCCAGACUCCUACGGGCGGCAGCAGUGGGGAAUAUUGCACAAUGGGCGGAAGCCUGAUGCAGCAACGCCGCGUGCGGGAUGACGGCCUUCGGGCUGUAAACCGCUUUCGCCUGUGACGAAGCGUGAGUGACGGUAAUGGGUAAAGAAGCACCGGCUAACUACGUG
rnacentral:rRNA from 1 species